rnacentral:misc_RNA from 1 species
UCUCCCUCCACACCUCCCCGCAAGCUGAGGGAGCCGGCUCCGGCCUCGGCCAGCCCAGGAAGGCGCUCCCACAGCGCAGUGGUGGGCUGAAGGGCUCCUCAAGUGCCGCCAAAGUGGGAGCCCAGGCAGAGGAGGCGCCGAGAGCGAGGGAGGGCUGUGAGGACUGCCAGCACGCUGUCACCUCUCAAUAGCAGCCCAAACAGAUUAAGACAUGGGAGGUGAAAGACAACUUGAGUGGUUAAAUUACUGUCAUGCAAAGCGACUAGAUGGUUCAGCUGAUUGCACCUUUAGAAGUUAUGUGGAACGAGGCAGCAGAUCUUAAGCCCCUUGCUCUGUCACGCAGGCUGGAAUGCAGUGGUGGAAUCAUGGCUCACUACAGCCCUGACCUCCUGGGCCCAGAGAUGGAGUCUCGCUAUUUUGCCCAGGUUGGUCUUGAACACCUGGCUUCAAGCAGUCCUCCUGCUUUUGGCUUCUUGAAGUGCUUGGAUUACAGUAUUUCAGUUUUAUGCUCUGCAACAAGUUUGGCCAUGUUGGAGGACAAUCCAAAGGUCAGCAAGUUGGCUACUGGCGAUUGGAUGCUCACUCUGAAGCCAAAGUCUAUUACUGUGCCCGUGGAAAUCCCCAGCUCCCCUCUGGGGUCUCGCUAUGUUGCCCAGGCUGGUCUGGAACUCCUGAGCUCAAGAGAUCCUCCCUCCUCCGCCUCUCAAAGUGCUGGGAUUACAGGCAUGAGCCACCGUGCCUGGCUGAAAUUGAAUUGAUUCUAUGACCU